UGUAAAUUGAAGAUGAUACUUGCAUCUACUGCAUUUACCAAGCAUAUUUUUUUGUGAAUUUUAUAUUGGGUAAAUGAUUGACGGAUCCAGGGUCAGGGGGUUCCGGGAAUUUGAACCCCCCUUUUUUUGCCGAUCAAUUUAUUUGAAUGGGGACAUAUAGUUGGAACCCCCCUUUUAAAAUGGUUGGAUCCACCCCUGGUAAAUUAUUUAUGGAAAAUUGCAAAAUACAAAUAAAUAUUUUAUUGGCACAAACUCAAUUACAAUAAUUGGCAACGGCCCAUACAACAAGUAUACAAAUAGUAAUGAUGCAGCAAUUAAACAAUACUACAUAGCAUAUCAUUGGGCACAUUUCAAACAAUGAAAUGUGCAGUUAUAAAUAUAUCAAUAUAUAUAGGUUAAUUUGUAAGAAUAGACUACUGACAUACGUAUAUUGUAUGUUAUAGCUUCAAAUUGUUCAUAUUAC
rnacentral:lncRNA from 1 species